UUUUUUCUGUUUGAUGGUUACCAUUUAAAGCUAAUAUAUCGGUAACGAGGGUGUAUCAUAUCUUAUUAUAUAAAAUACAGUUUUAAAAAUUACUAACUCACGAGAUCAUGAAACGUGCCAAGUCUAACGAUAAGAUGUUUACAUGUGUUAUUAAAGAUAUAACUUUUUAUUAUCUUAAAAAAUAAGAAACUCUAAAAAGUAAAGGGGAAUUUGCAAAAGUACCUUUUUCUACUACCUUUUUGCAGCAAUAACUUUUCUGUUGUCCAUUUUAAAAAAUACAUGUUCUCUUGAGAAAAAUGACCAAAUUACCCUCAUCUAAUGAGAAUAUGAAAUUAUAAACUGAAAUAUUUUGGCGCCAAAAU
rnacentral:sRNA from 1 species